GACGAACGCUGGCGGCGUGCUUAACACAUGCAAGUCGAACGGAAAGGCCCUGCUUUUGUGGGGUGCUCGAGUGGCGAACGGGUGAGUAACACGUGAGUAACCUGCCCUUGACUUUGGGGUAACUUCAGGAAACUGGGGCUAAUACCGGAUAGGAGCUCCUGCUGCAUGGUGGGGGUUGGAAAGUUUCGGCGGUUGGGGAUGGACUCGCGGCUUAUCAGCUUGUUGGUGGGGUAGCGGCUUACCAAGGCUUUGACGGGUAGCCGGCCUGAGAGGGUGACCGGCCACAUUGGGACUGAGAUACGGCCCAGACUCCUACGGGAGGCAGCAGUGGGGAAUACUGCACAAUGGGCGGAAGCCUGAUGCAGCAACGCCGCGUGCGGGAUGACGGCCUUCGGGUUGUAAACCGCUUUCGCCUGUGACGAAGCGUGAGUGACGGUAAUGGGUAAAGAAGCACCGGCUAACUACGUG
rnacentral:rRNA from 1 species